rnacentral:rRNA from 1 species
UACGUAGGGCGCAAGCGUUAUCCGGAAUUAUUGGGCGUAAAGAGCUCGUAGGCGGUUUGUCGCGUCUGCCGUGAAAGUCCGGGGCUCAACUCCGGAUCUGCCGUGCCGACUGUCAAACUCGAGGACUGUAGAGGCAGACGGAAUUCCAGGUGUAGCGGUGAAAUGCGUAGAUAUCUGGAGGAACACCGGUGGCGAAGGCGGCAUCCUGGACCGGCAUUGACGCUGAGGCGCGAAAGCCAGGGGAGCAAACGGG